GAUGAACGCUGGCGGCGUGCCUAAUACAUGCAAGUCGAGCGAACAGAUAAGGAGCUUGCUCCUUUGACGUUAGCGGCGGACGGGUGAGUAACACGUGGGUAACCUACCUAUAAGACUGGAAUAACUCCGGGAAACCGGGGCUAAUGCCGGAUAACAUUUAGAACCGCAUGGUUCUAUAGUGAAAGAUGGUUUUGCUAUCACUUAUAGAUGGACCCGCGCCGUAUUAGCUAGUUGGUAAGGUAACGGCUUACCAAGGCAACGAUACGUAGCCGACCUGAGAGGGUGAUCGGCCACACUGGAACUGAGACACGGUCCAGACUCCUACGGGAGGCAGCAGUAGGGAAUCUUCCGCAAUGGGCGAAAGCCUGACGGAGCAACGCCGCGUGAGUGAUGAAGGUCUUCGGAUCGUAAAACUCUGUUAUUAGGGAAGAACAAAUGUGUAAGUAACUGUGCACGUCUUGACGGUACCUAAUCAGAAAGCCACGGCUAACUACGUG
rnacentral:rRNA from 1 species